rnacentral:misc_RNA from 1 species
CUGUCGCCGCGGUUGGUCUCGAUCAGCCAGCACCCGGCGUCUUCGUCGAACGUCGCCGCGGUGACACGCGUGUCGAACACGAUAUCCCGGCGCAGGUCGAAACGAUCGGCAACGUGGUUGGCGUAGGAAAGGAUCUCGGCCUGCGGCGCGUAUUUCUCCGACCAGUUCCACUCCUGGUCCAGCUCCUCGGAGAAGGAGAAUGAGUACUGCAUACUCUCGACGUCGCAGCGUGCAC